ACUAUUCCCCUUCCCUCUCAUGUUAAAGCAUCCCUUUCCAUUUCAUCCCUCUUUUAAGUUCCGCUAUUUCAAAACACAAUGAUUUCAGAACUUCAAACUCAAAUCAUCAGCUUUGAACUCCUAAAAGUGUGUUUACAUGGUUGGCAAUUAGAUAUCGAAGUCCGAGCCUAUCAAUUCUGAUGUUUGCUUCGCACAUGUACAUGAAACACAAAUUCAUGCAC
rnacentral:lncRNA from 1 species